UCAAGUUAGUAAGGGCACAUGGUGGAUGCCUUGGCGAUGGGAGCCGAUGAAGGACGUGGCAGGCUGCGAUAAGCCCCGGUUAGGUGCCGAACAACCUUUGACCCGGGGAUGUCCGAAUGGGGAAACCCACGCGUGGUAAUGUGCGCGUAUCUGCAUCUGAACACAUAGGGUGCGGAAGGUAAGCAGGGGAAGUGAAACAUCUCAGUACCCUGAGGAAAGGAAAGAAAUCUCGAUUCCCUGAGUAGCGGCGAGCGAAACGGGAACAGCCCAAACCGGAAGAGUGUUACUGCUUGCAGGCUAAGCUCAUCCGGGGUUGUAGGGCCAUUCAGGCGUUACUGCAAUAAUGCCAGGGAGUUAAAAAGUCACCGGUUAGCAGAAUGCCUUGGAACAGGCAGCGAUAAAGGGUAAAAGCCCCGUAUGCGAAAACUGAUGGCCUCCCGGAUGGUUCCUGAGUACGGCGGUACACGUGAAAUGCCGUCGGAAUCCGCGGGGACCACCCCGCAAGGCUAAGUACUUCCCAACGACCGAUAGUGAACUAGUACCGUGAGGGAAAGGUGAAAAGUACCCCGGAAGGGGAGUGAAAUAGUACCUGAAACCAUGUGCCUACAAGCGGUGGGAGCCUGGGCUUGCCCGGGUGACCGCGUGCUUUUUGCAUAACGAACCGGCGAGUUGCUCGUGUCUGGCAAGGUUAAGCGAAAGCGGAGCCGUAGCGAAAGCGAGUCUUAACAGGGCGAAUUAGUCAGACGCGGCAGACCCGAAGCCGAGCGAUCUAUCCAUGGGCAGGGUGAAGCGAGGGUAAGACCUCGUGGAGGCCCGAACCCACUUGGGGUGAAAGCCAAGGGGAUGACCUGUGGAUCGGAGUGAAAGGCUAAUCAAGCUCGGGGAUAUCUGGUUCUCUCCGAAAUAUAUUUAGGUAUAGCCUCGUGUGUUUAGUUAUGGCUGUAGAGCACUGUUUGGGCUAGGGGCCCUACCAGGUUACCGAACCCAUACAAACUCCGAAGACCAUAACUCCAUAGCACGGGAGUCAGACUGCGGGGGAUAAGCUUCGUAGUCGAAAGGGAAACAGCCCAGACCAUCAGCUAAGGCCCCUAAAUACUGGCUAAGUGGCAAAGGAUGUUCGAGUGUCGAGACAACCAGGAGGUUGGCUUAGAAGCAGCCAUUCCUUUAAAGAGUGCGUAACAGCUCACUGGUCAAGUGUUCGUGCGCCGACAAUUCAACGGGGCUCAAGCCAGUUGCCGAAGCUAUGGAAGCGCAGCUUGCUGCGCUUGGUAGGAGAGCAUUCCGUUGCGGUCGAAGCGGCGGCGACAAGCCAGCCGUGGACGCUUCGGAAGAGAGAAUGCCGGUAUGAGUAACGAAAGGGAAGCGAGAAACUUCCCCACCGAAUGCCCAAGGUUUCCUGGGCAAUGCUAAUCAGCUCAGGGUUAGUCGGGACCUAAGCCGAGGCCGAAAGGCGUAGGCGAUGGAUAACGGGUUGAUAUUCCCGUACCACCAUCUUGCAUUUGACCGAUGGGGGGACGCGGUAGGGCAAGCGGACCCUGGCGAUGGUCGACCAGGGACAAACGAGUAGGGUGGCUCUCAGGUAAAUCCGGGAGCCGUUAAGCCUGAGACGUGAUGUCAGCCGAAAACUGUAGUAGGCGAGCCGCUUAACCCAUGUCGCCGAGAAAAGCCUCUAGGGAGUAAUGAUGGUGCCCGUACCGCAAACCGACACAGGUGGGCAGGUAGAGAAUACCAAGGUGAUCGAGAGAACCCUCGUUAAGGAACUCGGCAAAAUAGUCCCGUAACUUCGGGAGAAGGGACGCCUCAUUAACGUGACGAAGACUUGCUCUUCCGAGCGUGAAGAGGUCGCAGUGACUAGGCUCAAACGACUGUUUACCAAAAACACAGGCCUCUGCUAAGUCGCAAGACGACGUAUAGGGGCUGACGCCUGCCCGGUGCCGGAAGGUUACGUGGAGGGGUUAGCCUUCGGGCGAAGCUCUGAAACUAAGCCCCGGUAAACGGCGGCCGUAACUAUAACGGUCCUAAGGUAGCGAAAUUCCUUGUCGGGUAAGUUCCGACCUGCACGAAUGGCGUAACGAUUUGAGCACUGUCUCAACGAGGGACUCGGUGAAAUUGUAGUAUCGGUGAAGAUGCCGAUUACCCGCGAUAAGACGGAAAGACCCCGUGAACCUUUACUGCAGCCUGAUAUUGGAGUUUGGUGCAUCUCGUCCAGGAUAGGUGGGAGGCUUUGAAGCCGGGACGCUAGUCUCGGUGGAGCCACCCUUGGGAUACCACCCUUGAUGUACUGGGCUUCUAACGGUAGGCCGUUAUCCGGCUACCGAACAGUGUCAGGUGGGCAGUUUAACUGGGGCGGUUGCCUCCCAAAAAGUAACGGAGGCGUCCAAAGGUUCCCUCAGCACGGUCGGAAAUCGUGCAUAGAGUGCAAAGGCAAAAGGGAGCUUUACUGCGAGACCAACAAGUCGAGCAGUUGCGAAAGCAGGGCUUAGUGAUCCGGCGGUUGAGAGUGGAAUUGCCGUCGCUCAACGGAUAAAAGGUACUCCGGGGAUAACAGGCUUAUCCCGCCCAAGAGUCCACAUCGACGGCGGGGUUUGGCACCUCGAUGUCGGCUCGUCGCAUCCUGGGGCUGAAGCAGGUCCCAAGGGUUGGGCUGUUCGCCCAUUAAAGCGGUACGCGAGCUGGGUUCAGAACGUCGUGAGACAGU
rnacentral:rRNA from 1 species